GACGAACGCUGGCGGCGUGCCUAAUACAUGCAAGUCAAGCGGGCCUCCGGAGGUGCUUGCACCUCCGGACGGCCAGCGGCGGACGGGUGAGUAACACGUGGGCAACCUGCCUUUGAGGCCGGGAUAACACCGGGAAACCGGUGCUAAUACCGGAUACGUCCUCUUUCGCGCCUGCGAGAGGGGAGAAAGACGGUCUUUAAGGCCGUCGCUCAAAGAGGGGCCCGCGGCGCAUUAGCUGGUUGGUGGGGCAAGGGCCUACCAAGGCGACGAUGCGGUGCCCACCUGAGAGGGUGAUCGGCCACACUGAGACUGAGACACGGCCCAGACUCCUGCGGGGGGCAGCAGUAGGGAAGCAUCCGCAAUGGGCGAAAGCCUAACGGUGCAACGCCGCGGGAGUGAGGAAGGUUUUCGGAUCGUAGAGCUCUGUUGUGAGGGAAGAACAGCAUCCGGAGGAAAUGCCGGAGGUUUGCCGGUACCUCACCAGAAAGCCCCGGCUAACUACGUGCCAGCCGCCGCCGUAA
rnacentral:rRNA from 1 species